AUGUUUGAAUCCAUUGAUACUUCGAUUUUUAGAAUUGUCAAUGAGUAUAACACUCGCAUAACAAGAGUCAGGUUAAUUUCCAACUUUGUUACUGAUAGUUACGUAUUUAAAGAUCGUCAAUAAUACAGAGUUAAAGUUAAUCAAUAAAAAAGCAGCCAGUUAUCAUUAACUGGCUGCUUUAUUAUCAUUGA
rnacentral:misc_RNA from 1 species